rnacentral:rRNA from 1 species
CCUACGGGAGGCAGCAGUGAGGAAUAUUGGUCAAUGGACGAGGGUCUGAACCAGCCAAGUCGCGUGAAGGAUGACUGCCCUAUGGGUUGUAAACUUCUUUUAUAAAGGAAUAAAACGAGGCACGUGUGGCUUUUUGCAUGUACUUUAUGAAUAAGGAUCGGCUAACUCCGUGCCAGCAGCCGCGGUAAUACGGAGGAUCCGAGCGUUAUCCGGAUUUAUUGGGUUUAAAGGGUGCGUAGAUGGGUUGUUAAGUCAGUUGUGAAAGUUUGCGGCUUAACCGUAAAAUUGCAAUUGAUACUGGAAGACUUGAGUACAGUCGAGGUAGGCGGAAUACGUGGUGUAGCGGUGAAAUGCUUAGAUAUAACGAAGAACCCCGAUUGCGAAGCCAGCUUACUAAACUGUGACUGACAUUGAUGCUCGAGAGUGUGGGUAUCAAACAGGAUUAGAUACCCGAGUAGUC